GGGAAUCUGCCCUUAGGUUCGGAAUAACCAUUGGGAACGAUGGCUAAUACCGGAUGAUGACGUAAGUCCAAAGAUUUAUCGCCUGAGGAUGAGCCCGCGUAGGAUUAGCUAGUUGGUGUGGUAAGAGCGCACCAAGGCGACGAUCCUUAGCUGGUCUGAGAGGAUGAUCAGCCACACUGGGACUGAGACACGGCCCAGACUCCUACGGGAGGCAGCAGUGGGGAAUAUUGGACAAUGGGCGAAAGCCUGAUCCAGCAAUGCCGCGUGAGUGAUGAAGGCCUUAGGGUUGUAAAGCUCUUUUACCCGGGAUGAUAAUGACAGUACCGGGAGAAUAAGCUCCGGCUAACUCCGUGCCAGCAGCCGCGGUAAUACGGAGGGAGCUAGCGUUGUUCGGAAUUACUGGGCGUAAAGCGCACGUAGGCGGCUUUGUAAGUUAGAGGUGAAAGCCUGGAGCUCAACUCCAGAAUUGCCUUUAAGACUGCAUCGCUUGAAUCCAGGAGAGGUGAGUGGAAUUCCGAGU
rnacentral:rRNA from 1 species